rnacentral:rRNA from 1 species
AAUGAACGCUGGCGGCGCGCCUAACACAUGCAAGUCGAACAAGAAAUCUCGAGCUUGCUCGAGAGAGUAAAGUGGCGCACGGGUGAGUAACGCGUGGGUAACCUGUCCUUAAAUCUGGGAUAAUCCACCGAAAGGUGGCCUAAUACCGGAUACAGUCCUGAAAACCGUGGUUUUCAGGAUGAAAGCUGACCUCUUCUUGAAAGUUGGCGUUUAAGGAGGGGCCCGCGUGCCAUUAGCUUGUUGGUAGGGUAAAGGCCUACCAAGGCUACGAUGGUUAGCUGGUCUGAGAAGACGGCCAGCCACACUGGAACUGAAACACGGUCCAGACUCCUACGGGAGGCAGCAGUGAGGAAUCUUGCGCAAUGGGGGAAACCCUGACGCAGCGACGCCGCGUGAGUGAAGAAGGCCUUCGGGUCGUAAAGCUCUGUCAAGUAGGAAUAAAACUGUGGAUUUAAUAGAUACACGGUAUGAAGGUACUACUAAAGGAAGCACCGGCUAACUCCGUG